rnacentral:lncRNA from 1 species
CUUGUUCCAGUCUCGUUCAGCCAAAAGCUCUCAUACAUACUGACACCUAGAAGCCCUGCUUUUCUGUUCACUAGGCGGGCUCAGAAAAAGGAAUGGCCACUGUCUCUGGCAACCUCUUCAAAUGCCUACCAGGAAGCCAGGUCUCCCAAGCAUGCCUGUCAUCACAGCCCCCAACACGGGUGCCAUUAUACCUGCCAUCAUGCACCACCAUCAGCAGGAGGGAGGGCGGUUAUGAGCGAAGGUCCAAGAGACUUCCAAGCUGGAGGAGGGAGACGAGCUUGAACCAGCAUAUCCAGCAGCGCGGAUACCCAUGUGAAAAUCCAAGAGGAAAGUCAAAGGGAAAAAAAAAUCACAGCGAGAAACAAGAGCAUCCCC